rnacentral:rRNA from 1 species
UACGGGGGGGGCAAGCGUUGUUCGGAAUUACUGGGCGUAAAGGGCUCGUAGGCGGCCAACUAAGUCAGACGUGAAAUCCCCAGGCUCAACCUGGGAACUGCGUCUGAUACUGGAUGGCUUGAAUCCGGGAGAGGGAUGCAGAAUUCCAGGUGUAGCGGUGAAAUGCGUAGAUAUCGGGUGGAACACCAGCGGCGAAGGCGGCAUCCUGGCCCUGACCUGACGCUGAGGCGCGAUAGCGUGGGGAGCAAACGGG